GGUCAGUGAUGUGAAGUAAAAGGUCUGAACCUCAGGCUCCGCCCGCCGCCCCUCUGGCUCCCAGCAGCCCUGCUCUCUGCUCCCAUCAUGCUCUAGUGGUGCAGUGGUGGUCCAGCAGCUGCUGACAGACAGGAUGUGACAUCACAGCGGGAGUCUGUGCUCAGACCCUGCAGGGUCCCUGUGAUGACAGACAUCCAACAGAACCAAUCAGCACGGAGCGCCAGGUGGAGGGGGCGGGGCCUGAGUGGUGAUCUCACUGUUCUACUGAGACC
rnacentral:snoRNA from 1 species